CUACGAAAUAGGGAGAGUCAGGAGAGUGUAUUUUGCCAAGCAAUUUGUAACUGAUUUGUUGUGUGAAACUAUAAUUAUUUCUCAUUAUGAGUGACACUGUGUUAUACAUAAUGGUUCGAGAAAGGAAAUCACAAUACUGUAUAUGUUUGGAAUAUCCUGCACAACGCCAAACAGGCUUCUACUCUUUAUAUUAUUGAGGAAUAGAACUGAGUUACUGGCUAGACACAUUAGACUGUACAGUACUUGCCUAAUCUGUGUGUUGUAAGAUAAGUGCCAAGCUUUGUACAGCUCAUAUUGUAUAAACAUUUCUGUAUAAACGGACAAGUACUCUUUUUACGGAGCUGGGACAAAACCCCCUUUAUAAAUUUUGAACAAACUUGAUUACUUUCAUGUGGUACAAUAUUUGUGUUGUUUUGUAUUGUAUAAUUUAUUUUGAGGUGGGAAGACAAGUGUUAUUAAGCUGUUAAUCUCGCUGCUUAUAUUUACUGCCAGUGUGUUAUGCUACUCUCCAGAUAAGUGGAAAAUACUGUGUACAUUUAGAACAUUGAAAGGACCAACAUUAGUGAUGUAAUUGGCAUGGCGGCAGCAGGUGAUGAGUCGCCUCAGGUGAUGAGUCGCCUCAGGUGAUGAGUCGACUCAGGUGAUGAGUCGCCUCAGGUGAUGAGUCGCCUCAGGUGAUGAGUCGCCUCAGGUGAUGAGUCGCCUCAGGUGAUGAGUCGCCUCAGGUGAUGAGUCGCCUCAGGUGAUGAGUCGCCUCAGGUGAUGAGUCGCCUCAGGUGAUGAGUCGACUCAGGUGAUGAGUCGCCUCAGGUGAUGAGUCGCCUCAGGUGAUGAGUCGCCUCAGGUGAUGAGUCGCCUCAGGUGAUGAGUCGCCUCAGGUGAUGAGCUUAGU